UUUGGCGGGAAGGCUCUGGAGUGGCCCGAGCGGCUGGGGCUCCUCCCGAGACCGAGGGCGGGCGUCCCCGACCUCCCCCGCUUUGUGCAGGGCCAGUGGGGUGCGGGGCUCCGCUGGGGCGCGCGCGCAUGCGUGACAGAGGCGCCCUGGGGGCGUCCCGCGGUGCUGGCCCUGCCCUGCUUCUCCUCGCCUCGCCUCCCCCGGGGCAGAAAGGCUGCUGCUGUUGGGCCGCGUCCGGGAGACCUGCGGGCGGGGUUUCCUCAGGAGGUGUCCCAGGGGAUGCUUUGAGAUACCUGAAAACGGCAGUCACAGUUGUGCGUCGUGUGGCAGUGGAAGCCAUGGGACCAGCGACUUGGCAGGACUUGGUGAAGUCCCUAAUGGGCUGGCACUUUUCUCUCUGGGAUGUAAGGUUGUGUAUCACCAGCGCCCAAGUGAGCUGUCCAUUUCAGAAAGAGAAAGCAACUCCCAGUCGCUAAUGGCAACCGACAUCGUAUGCCUGUCUCCCCGUAGUCUCAAGAGAGUUAUGCCCAGGCCCUGACUGUCUCCAUUCCCUGAUUUAAUGGUCUUCUUACUUGUUGCUACCAGCUACUUUAUUAAACACAAUGAACGGCUUUC